AAUAAGCACAAAUAUACAUUUUCAUAUAAUGUUAUACAUUUAAUUUACAUAAUUAAAAUUAAAAAAUUGUGUACAGUAACAAAUUUAAAAGUGUGCAUUACUUUUUGUACAUUAACCAAAGUUAUUUCGUUUUUAAUUUUUAAACUUUUAGUUAUAUAGGUAUCAAGAACUUUUAUAGAAGAUUGUCUUAGAUUGUAUUUAUUUGCGCAUUCUACACAUUUUCUCGGAAAAAAAGAAGCGUCUGUACGUACAUUUUUGAAAUACUUCAUGACAUUUCGAGAAUGGUCGGAAUGUUUUAAAGUGUAGGGCAUUAGCGACAAUUCCAUCUUAAAUGCGUAACCGUUCACAUAGAGACGUUCCAAUUUAUUCGGAUCCUUUAAUAUUUGUUCAUGUUUCCAGUCUUUUAGUGGCAAUCAUUCACCUCUGAAACUUACGAAAAAUAAAGAUACAAUUGCAUCUCAGAACGCAUAAUAUGUUUUUCCACUGCGUAACAGGAUAUUAUUGUUAUACGGUUAAUAUGUAUUUUGAUCUAUAUUAUACACUGUUUAGGUUUACGUUCCAUUUGUGAUGACGUCAAAGGAAUAUAAUAUCCAGAUAGCUUGCACUUUUCAGCGAUUUAUUCACGCUGACCGGUACGGCGGUACAUGCUUAUAAAAUAUAAGUAUAAUAAAAUGGUUUUUGCAGAUCGACAUACAUAUCAGCUAAAUAUUGAAAUAGGUAUGUUAUUAUCCAAACCAAUAACGCACAUAACUAUAUACUACGAAGUGUAUUAUUAAUUUAAUAUGUAUAUUUUUAUUAUAGUACAAUGUACUGCUACACUGCAUAAGGUACCUAUCAAUUAAUAUACCUACUACACCAAUAAUAGGUACAUAUGUUGGUAUAUUAUAAUGAUUACACAUAAUA